GAUGAACGCUGGCGGCGUGCUUAACACAUGCAAGUCGAACGAAGCACUUUUGAUUGAUUCUUCGGAUGAAAGAGAUUGUGACUGAGUGGCGGACGGGUGAGUAACGCGUGGGUAACCUGCCUCAUACAGGGGGAUAACAGUUAGAAAUGACUGCUAAUACCGCAUAAGCGCACGGUAUCGCAUGAUACAGUGUGAAAAGCCGAGACGGUAUGAGAUGGACCCGCGUCUGAUUAGGUAGUUGGUGAGGUAACGGCCCACCAAGGCGACGAUCGGUAGCCGGACUGAGAGGUUGAACGGCCACAUUGGGACUGAGACACGGCCCAG
rnacentral:rRNA from 1 species